CAGUAGCCGCGGUAAUACGAAGGGUGCAAGCGUUAAUCGGAAUUACUGGGCGUAAAGCGUGCGUAGGCGGUGAGUUAAGUCUGCUGUGAAAUCCCCGGGCUCAACCUGGGAAUGGCAGUGGAUACUGGCUCGCUAGAGUGUGUCAGAGGAUGGUGGAAUUCCCGGUGUAGCGGUGAAAUGCGUAGAGAUCGGGAGGAACAUCAGUGGCAAAGGCGGCCAUCUGGGACAACACUGACGCUGAGGCACGAAAGCGUGGGGAGCAAACAGGAUUAGAUACCCCCGUAGUCCCUGUCUCUUAUAC
rnacentral:rRNA from 1 species